CGAGGACCAUGGGCUAACUCUAAGUUAGUUAUAGGAAGCAAGAGAGACUGUUAGGUUUAGGUUUAGAUUAGGUUAGUUAGGUCAAUUUAGAUUAAGUUAUAUACGAUGACGUAUUUUAAGUUACAUAGAGUGUUAGACACUCUAACGUUGUUAGAUUUAAGGACUCGUAGAUAAGUAGCAGUAGGAAGUUUUUAAACUUAACUGAAAAUAAAUAUGUUCAAAUAGUAAUAGCGGUAGAACGACGUACUUGAAUAGGAUGAUCGAAAUUUGGGUCAGCUUUUGUACAUGAAAAUCUUCCCUUUAAAACGACGGGCGGUGCCCUUAGAACGGUCCUCAAUGGCUCGGCAUGAUAUCCUACCGCCAGAGACAAGUACAUUUGAACAGACAGUACUUGUCUCUGCUACCGCUACUGUAUAUGUCAACCUUUAUCUGCACGGCCUCUAUGCCCCCUUAGGUGGUCGUUUAGAAUUUAUUAGUUUCGUUAUUUACUUACGUCUUACA